rnacentral:rRNA from 1 species
GGAUCCGAGGUAGCAAUACUUUGGUGAGAGUGGCGCACGGGUGCGUAACACGUAUGCAACCUACCUUUAACCGGGACACAACCCACCGAAAGGUGAGCUAAUAUCCCAUAACACUGCGAAAUGGCAUCAUUUUGCAGUUAAAACUCCGGUGGUUAUUGAUGGGCAUGCGCGACAUUAGCUAGUUGGUGAGGUAACGGCCCACCAAGGCUACGAUGUCUAGGGGUUCUGAGAGGAUUAUCCCCCACACUGGUACUGAGACACGGACCAGACUCCUACGGGAGGCAGCAGUAAGGAAUAUUGGUCAAUUGGCGCAAGCCUGAACCAGCCAUGCCGCGUGAAGGAUGACGGCCCUAUGGGUUGUAAACUUCUUUUGUACGGGAAAAAACCACCGGUCGUGUAUCGGUGCUGAUGGUACCGUAAGAAUAAGCAUCGGCUAACUCCGUGCCAGCAGCCGCGGUAAUACGGAGGAUGCAAGCGUUAUCCGGAUUCAUUGGGUUUAAAGGGUGCGCAGGCGGAAUAAUAAGUCAGUGGUGAAAGCCUACAGCUUAACUGUAGAACUGCCAUUGAUACUGUCAUUCUUGAGUGUUGUUGAGGUAGGCGGAAUGUGUCAUGUAGCGGUGAAAUGCUUAGAUAUGACACAGAACACCGAUCGCGAAGGCAGCUUACCAAGCAACAACUGACGCUCAUGCACGAAAGCGUGGGGAUCAAACAGGAUUAGAUACCCUGGUAGUCCACGCCGUAAACGAUGAUCACUCGAUGUUGGCGAUACACAGUCAGCGUCUUAGCGAAAGUAUUAAGUGAUCCACCUGGGGAGUACGGUCGCAAGAUUGAAACUCAAAU